AGAAGCUUCGACUAAGGUUCGAUUCGAGCGAAGCGAGAAAGCGUUGCCGCAGGCAACGACCCGAAGGGCGAGGCGCAACGCGCCGAGUAAUCCUUCCCCCACCACCA
rnacentral:sRNA from 1 species